CAGGGGAGGGGGGAGGGGCCUAAGCAUGGGCGGGGCCUCCGGGGGGCGGCCCUGUGUGAUUCGCCGCCUCCGCGCAGGCCCCGCCUCUCCGGUGCCAUGGUCCCGCCCCCUUCCUCCCCCUCUAUGGCGCCUCCCAGGCUCAUUCAUUCGGCGCCCGGCCUGCUAGACACCUGUUCUCAGCUCCCGCUGCCGUCCACCGUCGCAGAAAAGAUGUCAGGCCCCGCCACGGACGCACCGUCCGCCAUUCAGAUCUGCCGGAUCAUGCGGCCAGAUGAUGCCAACGUGGCUGGCAAUGUUCAUGGAGGGACCAUUUUGAAGAUGAUUGAGGAGGCAGGGGUCAUCAUCAGCACCCGGCACUGUAAUAGCCAGAAUGGGGAGCGCUGUGUGGCUGCCCUGGCCCGGGUGGAGCGCACUGACUUCCUGUCGCCCAUGUGCAUCGGGGAGGUGGCUCAUGUCAGUGCGGAGAUCACCUACACGUCCAAGCAUUCUGUGGAGGUCCAGGUCCACGUGAUGUCGGAGAACAUCCUCACAGGUACCAAAAAGCUGACCAAUAAGGCCACCUUGUGGUAUGUGCCCCUGUCACUGAAGAAUGUGGACAAGGUCCUCGAGGUGCCUCCUAUUGUGUAUUCACGGCAGGAGCUGGAGGAAGAGGGUCGGAAACGCUAUGAAGCCCAGAAGCUGGAGCGCAUGGAGACCAAGUGGAGGAACGGGGACAUUGUCCAGCCUGUCCUGAACCCAGAGCCCAACACAGUGAGCUACAGCCAGUCCAGCUUGAUCCACCUGGUGGGGCCCUCGGACUGCACCCUUCAUGGCUUCGUGCACGGAGGUGUCACCAUGAAGCUCAUGGAUGAGGUGGCUGGGAUUGUGGCUGCACGCCACUGCAAGACCAACAUCGUCACAGCUUCCGUGGAUGCAAUCAAUUUUCACGACAAGAUCCGGAAAGAAAUGGCCAUGUCCUGCACUGAAGCGCCCUGUGCUGCGUCAUCACCAUCUCUGGACGUAUGACCUUCACGAGCAAUAAGUCCAUGGAAAUUGAGGUCCUGGUGGACGCCGACCCUGUGGUGGACAACUCACAGAAGCGGUACCGGGCCGCCAGUGCCUUCUUCACCUAUGUGUCCCUGAACCAGGAUGGCAAGCCACUGCCUGUACCUCAGCUUGUGCCUGAGACUGAGGAUGAGAAGAAGCGCUUUGAAGAAGGCAAAGGCCGCUAUCUGCAGAUGAAGGCGAAGCGGCAGGGCCACACGGAGCCUCAGCCCUAGGUGUCUUCCUGCUACCCCUGGGGUCAGCACAGUUGAGGCGGCAGCCCCAUGUGCAGUCACUUAGAAGUACCCCCUUGGCCAGAACCCCAUUUCCACUGAGAGCUGGUGUUGUGAAGUAUUGUGUGGCAGUGUUACCUGUGCCCCAUUCCCAAAACCUGUGCACCAAAGCUUUAUUUAUACCCCUCCAGUAACUGCUCCCCAGUGUUGUCCCAAAGGCCACCACGGACACCAGAGCACUGAAUGGUCUGUGAAGAAACCCAGCACCACUAAUAAAGCUGCUGUCUGGCUGGACCCAU